GACGAACGCUGGCGGCGUGCCUAAUACAUGCAAGUUGAGCGCUGAAGGUUGGUACUUGUACCAACUGGAUGAGCAGCGAACGGGUGAGUAACGCGUGGGGAAUCUGCCUUUGAGCGGGGGACAACAUUUGGAAACGAAUGCUAAUACCGCAUAAAAACUUUAAACACAAGUUUUAAGUAUGAAAGAUGCAAUUGCAUCACUCAAAGAUGAUCCCGCGUUGUAUUAGCUAGUUGGUGAGGUAAAGGCUCACCAAGGCGAUGAUACAUAGCCGACCUGAGAGGGUGAUCGGCCACAUUGGGACUGAGACACGGCCCAAACUCCUACGGGGGGCAGCAGUAGGGAAUCUUCGGCAAUGGACGAAAGUCUGACCGAGCAACGCCGCGUGAGUGAAGAAGGUUUUCGGAUCGUAAAACUCUGUUGGUAGAGAAGAACGUUGGUGAGAGUGGAAAGCUCAUCAAGUGACGGUAACUACCCAGAAAGGGACGGCUAACUACGUG
rnacentral:rRNA from 1 species